AGGGAUAUAUGCAAAAAAUGAGCGAAGAGCAAUACCCAUGUCUCCCCCCAAAUGGGGCCAAUCAGUAAACAAUCCAUCUCACCUUACGCUGUUAUCUUUUUCUUCUCUCUUUUCUCCAGACACGCACACGCGCACCUUCCCUGAUUUCUCUCCUCCCUUCCAUAAAAUUAAAUUAAACUAAUUUUCAAUACAAUAAUAAUAAGCAGCAGCGGCAGCUGGAGG
rnacentral:misc_RNA from 1 species